CCUACGGGUGGCAGCAGUGAGGAAUAUUGGUCAAUGGUCGGGAGGCUGAACCAGCCAAGCCGCGUGAGGGAGGAAGGUACAGAGUAUCGUAAACCUCUUUUGUCAGGGAACAAAGACUGGGACGCGUCCCCGGAUGAGUGUACCUGAAGAAAAAGCAUCGGCUAACUCCGUGCCAGCAGCCGCGGUAAUACGGAGGAUGCGAGCGUUAUCCGGAUUUAUUGGGUUUAAAGGGUGCGCAGGCGGUCUGUUAAGUCAGCGGUCAAAGCCCGGGGCUCAACCCCGGCCCGCCGUUGAAACUGGCAGUCUCGAGUUGGAGAGAAGUAUGCGGAAUGCGCGGUGUAGCGGUGAAAUGCAUAGAUAUCAGGAGGAACAUCGGUGGCGUAAGCGCUUUACUGGGCCGUAAUUGACGCUGAGGAACGAAAGCCAGGGUAGCAAAUGGGAUUAGAUACCCCUGUAGUC
rnacentral:rRNA from 1 species